UAAUAGUGUAUAUUAAAGUUGUUGCAGUUAAAAAGCUCGUAGUUGAAUGUUGGUGUCGAACGAGCGGUCAGCUUCGGCUGUACUGCUCUCUCGACUCCUUCCUUCUGUGGACUACGUCGCACUUUACUGUGUGGCGCUAGGACGCAGAUCGUUUACUGUGAAAAAAUUAGAGUGUUCAAAGCAGGCCGUACGCUUGAAUACAUUAGCAUGGAAUAAUGGAAUAGGACGUCGGGCCUAUUUUGUUGGUUCUAGGACCGUCGUAAUGAUUAAUAGGGACAGUUGGGGCCGUUUAUAUUCCGUAGUCAGAGGUGAAAUUCUUGGAUUUACGGAAGGUAAACUACUGCGAAAGCAUUCGGCAAGGAUGUUUUCGUUAA
rnacentral:rRNA from 1 species